rnacentral:rRNA from 1 species
UAGAGUUUGAUCCUGGCUCAGGAUAAACGCUAGCGGCAGGCCUAACACAUGCAAGUCGAGGGGCAUCGGAUAGAGUACUUCGGUACUCUUGCCGGCGACCGGCGGACGGGUGCGUAACGCGUAUGCAACCUGCCUUCAACAGGGGGAUAAUCCGAAGAAAUUUGGUCUAAUACCCCAUAAUAUUCCGACAGGCAUCUGUCGGAGUUGAAAGCUUCGGUGGUUGGAGAUGGGCAUGCGUUGUAUUAGCUAGAUGGUGAGGUAACGGCUCACCAUGGCGAUGAUACAUAGGGGGACUGAGAGGUUUUCCCCCCACACUGGUACUGAGACACGGACCAGACUCCUACGGGAGGCAGCAGUGAGGAAUAUUGGUCAAUGGACGGAAGUCUGAACCAGCCAUGCCGCGUGCAGGAUGAAUGUGCUAUGCAUUGUAAACUGCUUUUGUACGAGGGUAAACCCAGAUACGCGUAUCUGCUUGAAAGUAUCGUACGAAUAAGGAUCGGCUAACUCCGUGCCAGCAGCCGCGGUAAUACGGAGGAUCCGAGCGUUAUCCGGAUUUAUUGGGUUUAAAGGGUGCGUAGGCUGUUUUUUAAGUUAGAGGUGAAAGCUCGACGCUCAACGUCGAAAUUGCCUCUGAUACUGAGAGACUAGAGUGUAGUUGCGGAAGGCGGAAUGUGUGGUGUAGCGGUGAAAUGCUUAGAUAUCACACAGAACACCGAUUGCGAAGGCAGCUUUCCAAGCUAUUACUGACGCUGAGGCACGAAAGCGUGGGGAGCGAACAGGAUUAGAUACCCUGGUAGUCCACCGUARACGAUGAUAACUCGUUGCCGGCGAUACACAGUCGGUGACUUAGCGAAAGCGUUAAGUUAUCCACCUGGGGAGUACGUUCGCAAGAAUGAAACUCAAAGGAAUUGACGGGGGCCCGCACAAGCGGAGGAACAUGUGGUUUAAUUCGAUGAUACGCGAGGAACCUUACCCGGGCUUGAAAGUUAGCGACGGAUCGAGAAAUCGGUCUUCCCUACGGGGCGCGAAACUAGGUGCUGCAUGGUUGUCGUCAGCUCGUGCCGUGAGGUGUCGGGUUAAGUCCCAUAACGAGCGCAACCCCUACCGUUAGUUGCCAUCAGGUCAAGCUGGGCACUCUAGCGGGACUGCCGGUGUAAGCCGAGAGGAAGGUGGGGAUGACGUCAAAUCAGCACGGCCCUUACGUCCGGGGCGACACACGUGUUACAAUGGCCGGUACAGAGGGUAGCUACUUGGUGACAGGAUGCCAAUCUCGAAAGCCGGUCUCAGUUCGGAUUGGAGGCUGAAACUCGCCUCCAUGAAGUUGGAUUCGCUAGUAAUCGCGCAUCAGCCAUGGCGCGGUGAAUACGUUCCCGGGCCUUGUACACACCGCCCGUCAAGCCAUGGGAGUUGGGGGUGCCUGAAGUACGUGACCGCAAGGAGCGUCCUAGGGCAAAACCGAUGACUGGGGCUAAGUCGUAACAAGGUAGCCGUA